GGAACCUUGGAGAGGACAAUAAGAUGCUUGGAGAAGGGUUUGUAGGCAAUGAGGACCAGCAAGGGUGUCCUAAUCAAGACGGCCCCCCAAACCAAGUUGACUUCGAGUAUGUUUUGAAGCCUAGGAGCAAUUUGUGUUAACUGGUCGCCUAGGUCACAUAUGGGCUCAGAUUUGGGCGUACUUUAUAUGUGCAGAAAGCCAAGAAGACAACCUUUCCAAUGGCACCGGUAGCAGGUCCAAAUUCAUUUAGAGUCAUCGGGAAUGAUCAAAACAAAUCAAGUUCAAAAUCUGUCUAAAUAUGGAAUACACAGGGGCAUGGAGAUGGAAAGCACUACAUGCCAUAGCAAUAGGAAGCUAAAUAUGGGUCUAAAUAUGGAAUGCACCGAGGCAUGGAGAUGGGAAAGGAACUACAUGCCAUAAAUAUGGAACCUAUCUAAAAUGCCUCCUGCGAUGACGACCUGGUAGGAGCACUUGGUGUCGUGCCACUACAAGGUCGAAUAGAUGCCCUUGUAGGAGUGCGCGCUACCACUGCAUGGCCGAAAUACCUCCUGAGAUGGCGCCUGGUACGUGGGCCUACUGCUGCUGCAUGGCCAGGGGUCUUGCAUGACCCUAGGGUCUUCUUUAAUUGCCGUGGCCCAUGGUCACACAUUUAGUGUUAGAGUUUUGCUUAGAUUAUCCUGUCAAGAACAAUUUUGCCAUUCAUCGGUCUGUGAGACCUUAACUUUAUGAGUUUAAUCAUACAUCUAUAAUUUGGUUGC
rnacentral:lncRNA from 1 species